rnacentral:lncRNA from 1 species
UGGCUGGGAUGCUUGGUGUUAUAUUCACUACAUUAUGGCCUUCCUUCAUGCUAGGAGAUUAUUAUGUCACGAACCAUAUUAGGUUUGUUGUAUAACCACAAGACCGAUUAUGGAAACUGACAUAAUAUUAUUCUGGUGCAUCGAGAUGCUUAUAGCAUUUUUGAGUAUAAUGCUUUGUUGUGUAACCACAAGAGCAUUUAUAUUCUAUUUUGACUGUAUUGAAAUGAAGGGUCCUACUUAACUAAAAUAUUAUGGUUUGUUGUGUAAACACAAGGCUAUUAAUGUUUUAGAGGCCAGGGUUUUUAUUGAGAAUUGCAUGAGAUGCAAUUGAAAAGAGUUUCCUAUCUUUAAACUUAUAAAAGGUUUGUUGUGCAACCACAAGAUCUUUUAUAAGG